rnacentral:rRNA from 1 species
GAUUAACGCUAGCGGCAGGCAUAAUACAUGCAAGUUGAACGGCAGCACAGGUAGCACUACUGGGUGGCGAGUGGCGCACGGGUGCGUAACACGUAUGCAACCUACCCUAUACAGGCGAAUAACCUUUAGAAAUGAGGGCUAAUACGCCGUAGUAUUACAGAUGGGCAUCUAUUUGUAAUUAAAGAUUUAUCGGUAUAGGAUGGGCAUGCGUCCCAUUAGUUAGUUGGUAAGGUAACGGCUUACCAAGACGAUGAUGGGUAGGGGAUCUGAGAGGACUUACCCCCACACUGGUACUGAGACACGGACCAGACUCCUACGGGAGGCAGCAGUAAGGAAUAUUGGGCAAUGGCCGCGAGGCUGACCCAGCCAUGCCGCGUGCAGGAAGACGGCCUUAUGGGUGGUAAACUGCUUUUAUACGGGAAUAAUAGAGUGUACGCGUACAUUUAUGCAAGUAUCGUAUGAAUAAGCAUCGGCUAACUCCGUG